rnacentral:lncRNA from 1 species
UAACAUCUUCGCCCAAACUUGUAAGACGCCCAAGAUCUGAGCGAAUGAAGUGUCUUACAGUCGCUCAGAACUAUGACCCUGUUCUCGUCCAAACCUUCGAAUCGCCCAAGAUCUUAGCAAAUAUAAGAAUGUUAUGGUUAUCCAGAAGUGCAGUUAUUGAGUAACCUUUAUCACGUUCCACGAUUCAAGGAGUUCAGUUGAAAAUGGCUGAACGACAAAGAGUAGUGGUAGCAGUUAGAGACAGCAGUUCCACGACAAGUUAGCCACCAUAAAGAAAGUGGGAAGUUAUAAAGCAAUCAAGCAAUUUCUAAGCGGUUGAUCAUGAAGAAAUCAUCAAGAGAAUAUAAAAGGAAGAGAAGACAUAGAGCAGAGGACCCCGAAUCAAACACUCUCAAACAGAGAAUAUAUAAUUUCAAUUUCUUAGUUUAGACUUAAAACAUUUUUUUCAGUACUCGUG